ensembl:lncRNA
CUUCAGCUGGGGGCCCUUUGGUGAUAAGAGAAGGCCUCUGUGGCCUGAUUUCUACAGCAUCACUGUUUCUGCUUCCCUCCCCCAGCUCCCUCAGCCCAGGGCUGUCAACACCCUGCAGACACACGGAGAGCAAUUGCUGUUCCCAGGCCAUGUGCGGAAGCGGCCCCAGAGGUCCCUGACUUGAGAGGAGAAAAUGGCUGUAUCAUUUGUGGCCUGCGAGUGUUGUGUCUGGUUCCUGUGGUUUGUUUUCCUGCUUUGAAAGCGAAACCAUGCGCGGCUCCAAGAUGGAAAGCAGACCAGGAUUUGUCAGCGCGGCCAUUCGUCAUGUCCCCCAGAGGGGGCUGUGAACUCCUGCAGCCUUGAGCUCUGCCAGCUCGCAGACCACCCACCUUGCAGUGCUCCGAAGGCCACCAGGCAGCAUGGGCAUGGGGCUCUUCUACCCAGCUGGUCUGAGGCCUCAGCCAGCUCCCACCCACCCUUGGGGAUGCAGGCCUGAAAUUAACCAAUGAUGGACUUUGGACCCGGCAGUCCAGGUCCCUCGCAGGGCGAUUCUGAAGUGGGCCCAGGGUCAACUUGCAAAAACGUCCAGCAUGGACACAGCCGCUCAGAUCUGCUUCACAGCAGAGCCGGGGAGGAAAUCACUUUACUGCUCUGUGAAAAGUCAUUUGGCUAUGUUUAAGUUGAACUCUUUUGUUUUUUAUUGUUCUGCAGAAAGCUAGUUGUAAAAUGCUCUGAUGUACAGCAAACAGCAAAUGUCUACACCUGUCUGGUUGGGGGAGGGUGGGGGGACUAGGGAGGCACUUGGAGGCAUUGCUGUAAGAAGAAGUUUCUAAUGCAGCUGUCCCAGCUAGGUCACCGAUGAUCAGCAAGUCCAUCAGACCCACCUGGGAACUUAGGAAAGACGCCCUGAUCUGUAGCAGUCCACUCAAAUCUUUGGGGCUGGCAGCCUGGUAUCUGUAUCUAUAACAAGUCUCCCUGGUGAAUGUUCUGAACUAAUUUAAGAACCAGAGCAUGGGUCCAUGUUGAUUGUACAACUCCAUAUCUGGGGAACAUUUCUAUGUGUGAGCCCAGGAGGAUGCUCUGGUCUCCAGGGAAUCAGAGGCAGCUGGGGCUUUUCCCAGAGCUGAUCAGUAGGGCCAAAAAGGAGGAUCUUAUUUGCUUUGCCAGGCUGCGUCAAGUCUGGAGCAAAUGAGCAUAGCACUGAAGCCUUCUGAAUCCAUAGAAGUCUGGUAUAAAUAUGCCAGCUCGACCUGGAACAAGAGCAUAUGGCAGAGUGGGAGUUGACUGUAUCUGGGCUCAAGGAGGAGCAGGCUGAGCCCAGAGCCUGCAUUUUAAGACUUGGUUCACUCUUGUGUUUGUGUUCAUUUUUUGGAGGACUGUCUCACUGUAAUUUUAAUAAAGGCAAACCUGGAAUAGAAAAACAUGGAAGCAUGUGCUUUCUUACUUUCUCUCAUUUAAACCUAUUGGACAUCUCAUCUCAUUUGCUGUGGGAGUAUGCAUCCAAGACCCUGUACCGGCACCCAGGGUUAGACUCCAGGCACUCAGCAUCCAUCAACAGUGUGGAUGGGACUCCCCUUGCAACUGCAGGGACACCAAGCCCCCAGUUUAUCCUGACCUUUCAGGGUUUCCCAGAAAGUGCUAAAGUAAUCUGCAGUCUCCAGGCUCCUUCCCACUGACCCCAGCCCAAGAACGCACUCAGAAGAGGACUGGGCUCCGGGGAUGGGCUCGGUUUCCACCCGUCCUAGACCAUGCAGUGCUUUGUCAGCCCCCACACUGGAACGGCGACUCCUGAGUCAGGUUUCCUGACUUCAUGACUUCAGCAUGUGUGGCCAAAGGGACCCAGCGGCCAUGCUCUCCACAACAUCUGGCAUGCUCUGUCUCUGGGGCUUCGUCUU